UUGUUUGCCUGGUGAGUGUGAGUAUGGAGCAAUUGCUGGGGGGUCUCUGUAUGUUCUGCCACUGCCUGGGGCAUCUGUUGUAGCGGGUUGGUGUCUGUGCAAUUGAAGCACUGCUGGGUGAGGGGAUUGGGUUCAGCCAAGUAGCACUGUGUUUCUGGUGCCGCACAGACGUUUGGUGAUGGGACUGUUCUAUCUGUGCUGGGUAAGUCUUGGGGGUGACUGGGCAAGUACAUGGGGAGGGGUGGCAAUUAUUUAUAAAACCCAUUAUAGUGAUGGGGUUGGUGCCCGGCCCAGAGUGAUGGGGUUGGUGCCCGGCUCAGAGUGAUGGGGUUGGUGCCCGGCCCAGAGUAUGGGGUUGGUGCCUGGCCCAGAGUAUGGGGUUGGUGCCCGGCCCAGAGUAUGGGGUUGGUGCCCGGCCCAGAGUGAUGGGGUUGGUGCCCGGCUCAGAGUAUGGGGUUGGUGCCCGGCCCAGAGUGAUGGGGUUGGUGCCCGGCUCAGAGUGAUGGGGUUGGUGCCCGGCCCAGAGUAUGGGGUUGGGUUGGUGCCCGGCCCAGAGUAUGGGGUUGGGUUGGUGCCCGGCCCAGAGUACAGGGUGGGGUUGGUGCCCGGCCCAGAGUACGGGGGGAUUAUGUGCAGACGUGAGUCGGUGUGUUCCUACAACGCUCAGUACUUCGGGGAGGGCACGCUGCUCCAUGUGAUGGAAAAAGGCCAGGAGCGGCUGGAGCCCAAAGUGUCGAUCUUCCGGCCGGACCCCCAGGAGCUGUCGGCCCAUGGCUACCUGUCCCUGGUGUGCGUGGCCAGUGGCUUCUUCCCAGAACACGUGGAGCUGAGUUGGUUGGUGAAUGGGAACCCGCGGGAGGGGAGCCGGGGCAAAGCCUGGAGAGUGGGGGAGACCUACUCAAUGAGUAGCCGCCUCAGCCUCACCAAGGAGCAGUAUUACAAUACGGAGAACUCGUUCCAAUGUUCCGCCGGGUUCCGAGGGGAAAGCAAAGUGGCGACCGACUCCGUCAGCGGAGAGAAAGAUUGCGGAGUUUCCCCCGAUGAGUUGAAGCGGUUGGUGAAUAACGGGGUUCUCUCCUAUAUCCUCAUCCUGUGCAAGAGCGCCCUCUAUGGGCUCAUCGUCACCGCUGUCAUCUGGCGGAAAAAGGCAAGUGCAAGCUCCUAUUAGAAGGUGCAGGAGAGACAGAGAUUUGGCUUCCUGCGAGAGAUGUGACCGCCCAGCAAGUGACCAGAGAGAGUUUGGCCCCAGGAUGGGGGAACAGAGGGGCCCCAGGGUGGGGGGAUCAUGGGGGGCCCCAGGA